rnacentral:rRNA from 1 species
UGGGGAAUAUUGCACAAUGGGCGCAAGCCUGAUGCAGCCAUGCCGCGUGUGUGAAGAAGGCCUUCGGGUUGUAAAGCACUUUCAGCGAGGAGGAAGGUGGUGAACUUAAUACGUUCAUCAAUUGACGUUACUCGCAGAAGAAGCACCGGCUAACUCCGUGCCAGCAGCCGCGGUAAUACGGAGGGUGCAAAGCGUUAAUCGGAAUUACUGGGCGUAAAGCGCACGCAGGCGGUUUGUUAAGUCAGAUGUGAAAUCCCCCGGGCUCAACCUGGGAACUGCAUUUGAAACUGGCAAGCUAGGAGUCUCGUAGAGGGGGGUAGAAAUUCCAGGUGUAGCGGUGAAAUGCGUAGAGAUCUGGAGGAAUACCGGUGGCGAAGGCGGCCCCCUGGACGAAGACUGACGCUCAGGUGCGAAAAGCGUGGGGAGCAAAACAGGAUUAGAUAACCCUGGUAGUCCACGCUGUAAAACGAUGUCGAUUUUGGAGGUUGUGCCCUUGAGGCGUGGCUUCCGGAGCUAACGCGUUAAAAUCGACCGCCUGGGGAGUACGGCCG